GACUGACUGACUCGCUCGUGCCCCCUCUCGCCGAAGAGUGUGUGUGGGGGGAGUGAAAAAAAUAGUCCUCCGGGUCCUAACGCCGCGCCGACACGCCGCCCUUCCUCGCGGGGCUUUCCCAAGAGGAAUAGCGGGGGCGAGGCGCCGCUCCGCCCUGGCUCGGCUUUGGAAGCGGCACAGAGGGAUUAACCUGGAAUGAAGGGUCACCUCGCGAGAGAAACCGAUAUCCGUCCGCCGGCGGGUGACCCCGCCCUCCAGAAGAUGGCAUGGAUUUUGAGGUUCAAGGAAACAGUUGCUUCCUGCACUGGAGAGCAGCUAUCUCACCUUGUUGACCCUUUACAGCAUCAAGCUGUCUCAGAUACAGGAGAGUUUCUGGCAUGACUCAUCCUGGAAUCGCAGCUCCCAAGAAGAUACAUCGGGGGAGCAGAAUUGGAAGGUGCUCUCCCACCAGAGGUCCUCCUGAGCGAGGGGACGAGAGGACGCAGCACAUCUCCCGGAACAGCGGCAGGCACAGAUGCCUCUCCGAGAUCUCUGUUCUUAAGGAGGAAAAAAUCCCAGCUUAUCUUCAAAAUGGAGGCGAUGUAUAGGACCAGAAGGUAACUGCCUAGCUCAGAGAUCAACCUCGUGUUAUUCCAAGCAACUGCAUCGCUGCUCAAAUGGAAAGGUCAGGUCCAGCAUCUGAGCCGACAUCACGCAUAGCAGGCAUGCGCAUCACUGAUGAUGUCACUAUGUUCUGGGAAGUCCAUUUACCCGAAGCUCUGUGCCAUUUAAGAGACGUUUCUACCCACAGCCAUUCACAGGUGAGCCAACAAUGUACCUGCCAGUCAGAUCUGUACUACCUUAGCACUGGGUUUCUCUGUGCAAACUAAGCCAUCAACCUCUAAAAACCACCUAAAUGACUUGUUUCAGAACUGCCCCGACAUACCUGUGUGUCUGUACUGGACAGACUGGACCACAGCCACGUGCUCUGAAAAAAUGUUUUAAUAAAAUAACUGUAACAGCUAAGCCACCUUCAACAAUGCCCAAUUAAAGGAGGCCUUAAAAUGA